CACACCAAGAAAUUUCUCUGGAUUCACUCAUUUUCCUGCUUCCAGUCAUUUAAGCAAAUGGAGACUUUUUAAAAAAAACUGAAAGUUGAUGUUAAAACUGACUCAAAAAUAGUGGAAUGGUAUCCAGGUUAAAUAUUCCUAAGACAAAAUAGGGCAUUGUUUUAUUCAGCACAUUACUUAAGAUAUAGCAACUUCUAAUAAGGAAGUUCCCUACGAAUGGGGUAAAAGAGAUUUUUCAGUUGAUGUGCUUUCAUAAAUCAGCUCUGCAGACAUUGAGUUAUACUUUUCAAAAUUAGGCUAAGAAAAUGAAAUCUUCCUAAGUAGUACGUGUAUUGAUUAUUGUUUACCUUAUGUAAUUUUCUGAAACUGCCAAAUAGGGUUUAAAUAUCUGAAUCUUUAAUUAUCUUUUCCUAUUUUUCUACUUUUAUGGGUUGUUGCAAAAGAAUGCAUGCUUUGCAGAGCUGAGGAAAACAGAAUUACUGUCACACCAAGCAAGGGCCAAGAUGUGGUCAAAACUUUGAGUCAGCACAGCCUGGAGUUGUCUGUCUCUAGUUGAAUUGUUAUGUAUGGGAUGCAUUUUCAAAAGGAUAAAGUUGAAGACACAGUCUAUUUACAAAAUAUGAAAUUAACCUGGAGUUAUAUAAACAUGCCAAAAGAGGAAAGAAAUUUACACUGGAGCUGUAGUGAGACAUUCAGGUUUGGAAGCAGAAACAGAAUUAAUGCAGAGAGAAGAUGCCAUUGAUAGAGCAGUCCACAUCAGAAAAUCUCUGCUCUUGACAGCAGGAAAAGUUCUCUAGGUAAAGACACUUAUCCUGUGUGAUCCAUUUUCUUUCUGUUUUCCAUGUGUCCUGGUUCUGUAGUUUUGGGUUCCUAUGAGACCCGGUCCCAUUUUGGCACUUACUGUUUUCCUCCUGUUCACACAGAUUCUGAUGUGAAAUUGUACAUUACUUGGAGUAAUUUAAUGACGAUUCUUCCUUGCCACUAAAAGACCAUAACUACAG
rnacentral:lncRNA from 1 species